rnacentral:lncRNA from 1 species
CUUGGGCAGGGCCAGUGCUUUCCAAGUGUAGCUGUCCCUACACCCUGUGUUCCUACAUUCUAAACCCCAGAGGGCAAACCCGGGAGCGGGUGUCUUUCUCCAGGGGAACGGUACACAGUGUUGCUACCAGUCCUCGAGUGCUCAAAGAGUAAAUAUCCUUUGAGCAGUGCUGAGGCCUGCCCCAGGAUGGGGCUGGGCUGCAGCAGCAGCAGCUGGGUAAACAAGUGGGCUGCAGGCUAAGUUCAUGCCCAGCCUCCAGGGAGCGCUGGGGAAAAACGGCGCAGACCUGGAAGGCCCACAGAGUCGGCCUGGGAUCCCUGGGCUUCUGAAAUAGGCUCCAAGGCCCUGCUGACAUUUGGGUACAGUUUCCUGUUGGUGGGUGUGUGGGUGUGCUGAGGCCUUCUGCCCGCAGAGGAGGCCCUGCCCUGGACCACGGGAGUUGUUCUGGUAACUCUGAAAUGACCUGCUGCAAAUGAGCCCGCCAAGCACAGUCCUGGAGGAGGAAGAGUGACCGAGUCCAUAGAUGGGACACAUCUUCCCUCUUUCAGCUCCAAUGAGACAGAGAAGAGCACAGAUGGCAGCCAAGAGAAUUUUCUUCUGAAUGAAUGACGGUGAGAAGAGGGGCGGGGCCAGUGCAGAGAGCUUUUGUUGGGCCUGUGUGGUGUUUUGAUUUAAGGAAUUUCUUGAGAUAUGAAGAACUGUGGUAUAUAUGAG